GUCUUCACCUCUGGACCACCAGGGAAGUCCCAGAGAUUCUGCAUUUAAACUUUAUAUCUGCCCAGUUUCUGUGUCCUGUGUUCCUGAGCGGCACGUGUUCAUAGAAGGGAGGCACCGCCAGGCUGCAGCUGCUGAUGGGCACUCGGUCUCCUCAGGACUCGCUGGGGUCGGCUUCAGGACAACGUGGGGCUGCGUCCACGCUGACGGGAGCUGGGUUUCCUGAGGACGCGGGUGACGCUGGAGAAAAGGUUUUUUUGGUGGAAUGAUGUGGAAAAUUGAACUUCCAAAAUCCCGCUGUUACUACCACAUCCAAGUCAUCCACAACAGGGAAGAAAGGGAAGUCGUUUAUAUUGGGAAGUCCUAAUAAGUCUUUCCACAGUGCCUCUAAAUGACAUGUGGACUUGGGGUGAACUGCAUCUGGGUAAGGCUUUGCCUCUGUAUGGAAGUUUGAUGUUUCCUCUGCCUUUCUGGCAUGGUUUUGACAUGGUGUUUUGCAAAGUACUUGACUUUCCAGCAAUUUCAAACGUACAGACAGCUUUACAUACAGAAAAGCAAGUUUUGAUUAAAUAUAUUCCUAAAUAUUAAUGUUGACAUUAUUUUAAAUCGAA